ensembl:lncRNA novel transcript, antisense to SCAF11
GUGGACUUUGGCCUCUGCCCUCCUUUGGCAGUUUUACAGGCUGCGUCGCGGAGGACAAUGAAAGAGGCUUUAAGGGAACUGGACAGGAAGGAUUUUGCGCAGGGUGUGCUCCUUAUCUUUAUGGUAAUCUGAUAUUGAAAAGAGUGUCCGCAUGUUUGCGGUGGAUUGAGUGUUCACCUGGCUGCGCUGCCCACCUGAAAUGCAGCCUGUGGAGUGAAGAGUCGGCAAUUUGGAAGCCCACCUUUCCUCCUUUCUGGUGGGCAUUUUUUUAGAUGCCAGGGGGAGAGCUUUCCCGCCUGACUCCCCGAGCCUAGGGGCUUUCCCAUGUCUUAACCCCACAUCACAAAAUUAAAUUUGGGCCAGGUGCGCGGUGGCUCACGCCGGUAAUCCCAGCGCUUUGGGAGGCCGAGGCUGGCGGAUCGCUUGAGCUCAGCAGUUCGAGACCAGCUUGAGCGACGUAUUAAGAUCUCGUUUCUACAAAAAAUAAAAUUAACCGGCCGUGGUGGCGCGCACCUGCGGUCCCAGCUCCUCGGGAAGAUGAGGUGGGAGAAUCGCUUGAACCCGGGAGGCGGAGGUUGCAGUGAGCCGAGAUCGUUCCACUGCACUCCAGCCUGGGCGACAGAGCGAGACCCUGUCUCAAACAACAACAAAAACUUUAUCAUUAUUUACUUAAAAGGCCUCCGCGUUGUGGUUAGAUAGUGACGUGUGUGCCAUCCUCCACUUUUUCCCCCGGCGGGUUGUUAAAUGUUUUGUUUUACCUCGGAGGUAUUUUGACUUUUUCAAAGUCACUGAUUAUUUAACCUCCUAGUUUCUCUUCUCGUCGACUGCAGCAAGCUUCCGGUUGCUCUGCCUGCCCUCAGUGUCCCCCAUCUACCAGCUGACCUUCCAGUCCUCCCACCCACGCCCUUGUCCUGCUUGCGGCUCCCGCAGGACUAAGCUCUGCUCCCCGCGCGCGGCUCACCCAGGUCCCAGUCGCUUUCAGCCGCGCGCUCACACGUUUUCCUGUCGCCUGCCCCCGUUCUGUUCGCGCGUGCUGCGCUCUCCAGCCACCCUGACGCCUGCCCGGGAUGAGUUUCCUCCCCACUUUGCCGCGGCCCCGCCGACCGACCGCUUCACUGCCGCCUUCCUGCAUUCUCGCAGACUACGUUGCGGCGUCCCCUGCUCCCGCCCUGAGGACGUCGCUUUUCUGGCACUUUCAUCCUAUGCAUUCUGUUGAGUCUGCUCACUGUCUCACACUGUGAGGAUUGGGACAGUGUCUUAUCACUUUCAUAACAGCGUCUGGCACUUGCUGAAGGAACACAUGAAUGGCGGUCUUGUCGCUGUCAAAGUCUUUGGAGUUUUUCAGUGUACUGUUUUUGAUAUGGGGUUUGGGAAUUUAGGUGGCUUUACUGUAUUUGGGAUAUUUGAGGGGAAAAUGAGCUAGAGGCGUUAAAAUGCUUUCUUCUGAUGGAACAACAAAAUUCUUAUGAAGGACCUUUCCCUGUCAAAAUCAGAGCAAAUAGUAAAGGAUAUAUACUAUUUGGAUAUAAAGAAUGAUUAUAAAGGAUGAUUGUUAAGAGAAAUAGUGAAAAUUAGUGUGGAAAGCUAUAACCAGAUCAACAUUUAUGAGCCAUCCAACAGAAUAAGGGUGUAGCUUUUUUAUGUAUACAAUCUCUAGGAUUCACUCUAGAGAGUGUAACUCCUGAUAUGGACUCCUGGUGCAACAUGCUUCUGUGUAUGUUUUAUAUUUUAAAAAAUCUAUAUAUAUUUAAAAUCUAAAUAUAUUUUUAAAAAUCUCAGUUUUGUUUUAGGAAAGUGUUUUUUCUCAAAAUUUAAGCCCAAAUGAUAAAAUCUGCCAAAUAGAAAACUAUUUUAAAUUGAUAAUAACAGUAUAGUUUCAUCAAAACUAAAAAUACCAGAUCUUUUGAUGUAUUUGUUUCCUAGCAGAGAAUUAAGUUUUCACGUUCUUACUGUUGGCCUCCUAGAUAUCAUGUGAGCAUGUCUUAAGGAAAAAUGCUCUUAAUGCCACUGUGGUUUCUACCUUCAUGUGCAAAUAGAAGAGAGUGGUGGUUUGUAAUAGGCCAUUCUUUCCAGAGAAAAGUUCAUGUGUAUUUCUGUAUAUGCAGCAUCCUCCUUAUUAUGUUUGGAUGUAAAGAUUUAUUAUUCUCUCUGAUGUUUUCAUAUUUUUUAAAUUUACAAUAUAAUAAAGAGGUACAGAGUUCUAAAUCAAUAAAAGAUGGGCUAUAAAAUGGA